UUUCUUUUCUUGUAUCGCAGUGAACCCACAAAUUAGUUGCAAAUUUAGUUGUUACUGGUUAAGUGCUGCGUAUGGUUAUCAUUUCAGUUUAAGAAUAGAAAAUAAGUGAAAUUCAAUUAAAACGAAAUUAAUUUAAUAUAAUUUAAUUAAUGAUUAGGCUUCGACUUGUAGCUUAUUGGGUGCUUCAGUUAUCUUGCAAUAUUUUAAAUCGAACAGCUUUCACUCAGUGAAUCUAGACUUACAUUUAGUUUUAUGAUUUUGAAAACUUUACGAUUGAUUUCUUCGAGAUCUCGUCGCUAAAGUGUCGAACAAAAUAGUUUAAAAAUUCCCUUGAAACGCCGAAGAUACAAUCAAAAGUAAGAUUAUUAAUCGGCAAAAAAAAAAAAAAUUUACAAAUAGUUAACUAAAAAAAAAAAAAAAAAAAUAGCGGAAAAGUCUAUAAAUUUAAAGACUAAACAUACGUUAUGAUAAAAAUUGUACGGAGUAGUGCGAAGGCAGAAUAUUACUGUCAAUGCAUUAUGCGUUGAGCAUAUAUUUGUAAGAAGAUUAAAGAACAACAAUAAUACAAACAUAACAUACCGCCCACACGGAACAUAUGCGGAGUCAAAGAGUCAUUCAGCAAGUGCUCCAAA